CAGGCUAAUGUUCUUUUAAUGUGCUAUCUUCAAAUAUAGUGCCUUGGAGGGUUAUGUGUGUCCUUAUAAAUAAAGCAAAAGCCAGAAAUGCCAAAGUAUAAAUGGACAACACUGAACUCCUUAAGAUGGCAAAAGGCAGGCAGUAUAGUUUGUUUUCAUGAUGUGUGAUUCCCAGGAGCCUCAGCAGAUUUCAGCAGGGGAAACCUACCAGAGAAGUCCUCUUGGCUGCAGAUUACAAGAUCUUUAAGGAGCUCUGUAGAAGUAGAGAAGGGUUAUUAAAAAGAGAUUACUUCCAGGCUGUGACAAACUUGUCGGCACAAGCUAAAAGUGACUUUUCAGAUGUUUACAACGAGUUUGAUAAGAUUUUUAGAAGGACAUCAUUAAGCACCUCUUCAGCACUGAGGGCUGACAAGGUCGUAGGAGUGCUGCGAAAGAGACGCAUCAAGGAAUUGAUCUCUGGUUUUCACAUGCCAGUAAAAGUUAGGACAGCAUCCUCAACAGCAGUUUCUGUCUGGAGAAGACUGAACACAGAGUAUGAGGCUGAGAAAAAUCACACUGGUUGUUGAGAAAGAGAAAACUCCAAUCAAAAAAACAGGUUGAGAAAAAUCACACUGGUUGUUGAGAAAGAGAAAAUUCCAGUCACAAAAUAAAACUGGCUGGAGAAGUAAUAACUGAGGAGUG
rnacentral:lncRNA from 1 species